GCCGCUGUGAUGGAAUUGGCAGACAUUGCAGACUUAAAAUUUGUUGGACAUAGUCCGUGCCGGUUCGAGUCCGGCCAGCGGCACCA
rnacentral:tRNA from 1 species